GGAGGUGCCGCCAUGAACCCGCCCGAGGUGGAGCCGCUCGUGUGCCGCAAAUAUGAGAUCAAGAGGCGGCUGGGCAAGGGGGCCUACGGCAUUGUCUGGAGAGCAACCGACCGCCAGACAGGAGAAACAGUCGCUGUUAAAAAGAUUUUUGAUGCUUUCAGGAACAGAACAGAUGCUCAGAGAACAUUUCGAGAGAUUAUGUUCCUGCAGGAAUUUGGAGAACAUCCAAAUAUCAUCAAGCUGCUCGAUGUUAUCCAAGCAGAGAAUGACAAGGACAUCUACCUCAUCUUCGAGUCCAUGGAGACAGAUUUACAUGCUGUGAUUAAGAAGGGGAAUUUGCUGAAAGACAUCCACAAGUGUUACAUUCUCUACCAACUCCUGAAGGCAACUAAAUUCAUCCACUCAGGGAAUGUUAUUCACAGGGAUCAGAAGCCUUCCAACGUGCUGCUGGAUGCCCAGUGCAGUGUGAAGCUGUGUGACUUCGGGCUGGCGCGCUCCCUGUGCCAGCGGGGCGAGCCCCAGCCCAGCCCUGUGCUCACCGAGUACGUGGCCACACGCUGGUACCGAGCGCCCGAGAUCCUGCUGGCCUCCCGACGUUACACUAAGGGUGUGGACAUGUGGAGCAUUGGCUGUAUUCUGGGAGAGAUGCUGCUUGGAAAGCCUCUUUUUCCUGGAACAUCAACAAUGAACCAAAUAGAGCAGAUCCUGAGGGUUAUCCCUGCUCCGUCCCCAGAAGAUAUUUUGGCUCUGCAGUCGGAGUACAAGGCCUCAGUUAUUAACCACAUGAGUUCCCGGCAGCGAGUAGCAUUUGAGGAGAUUUUCCCAUCCUCCACUCCACUGCCUGCCUUGGAUCUGCUGAAGAAACUUCUGGUCUUUAACCCUGACAAACGGCUCACAGCAGAGCAGGCUCUGCAGCAUCCCUACGUGAGCAGAUUCCACUGUCCUUCCAGGGAGCCCUCUUUGGAUUUUGAUGUGAUCCUUCCUUUGGGUGAUGAUGUCCAGCUGUCUGUGGCAGAAUAUAGAAAUAAAUUAUAUGAGAUGAUCCUUGAAAAGAAGUCAAAGAGCUUUCCAAAGGAGCAAGGGCGGGGAGAAAACAUUCAGCUGAGCCAGUCUGAGACCAGCACACUUCUGCCAGGUUUCAGCUCAGUGGCUGCACCCACCAGGAAAGGCCAGCAAGAACCAACACCCCCUCUGCUAAACCCUUCACAUGUGCACCCUGGAGCCACAGCUGGGGUCCAGCCAGCAGGGUCCAGCCAGAGCAAGGAUCAGGCCAGAACUGUGUGUCAGAGAUCACAGAUUGGUGUGAUGAUGUACAACCCCAUCACACACACCACUGUGCAGAGAAAUGCAAAUCCUGGUGCUGGGAUCAGGAACCUUUCUGCACCACCUCAACAGUCCAGAAUCUCCAACAAUGAGAAACUGGGGAGACAAAUCACAUGGCCCAACACUCGUAUCUCUCCUUCAGGUGUACAGAACCUUUACAAUAAUCCCAGAAACUCUCAGUGUCACAGCAAAGAUGUUCGUCCCCUUCUGAAGCCCAGUAAAAAGAUGUUCCAGAUCACUGCAAAUGUGGGAGCUGCGGGUGAUCCAAGGGCAUCCAUGGGCAGCUACUCCCAGGCCUAUGGAACCAUCAGUCAAUCUGCACUGCAGAGCCUUCCAAUAGCAAAACCCCAAAAACCCUGAGCAGUGACAGUGGAGAUGUUGCAGACAGCCCCUGGGAUGACCUGUUUGCAGCUGGCAGAGCUCUGAGGCCCUGGGUCAGAUUCGGUGUCAUGAAGCUGCUGACUGCCAGGCCAGUUGUCCAGCUCUGGAUCAAACCAUCCACUGUUUGGAAAGCAAUUUAUCUCUAAAUCAGAUUUACAGCUCAGGCACUGAACUGUCAGUGGGUACAGGAGGAGAGCAGCUCAGGCCAACCCAGCACCAGCAGCUGUGUGAUGUGUUCAGCCAGAAGGAACCCUGGACAUCCCUCCUUCCAUUCCCAUGACAAUAUUGGAAAACUAAGGCCCUGAAGUCCCCUAGUCCAAAAACCCUGCAGUGCACCUCCAGAAGGGAAGAGGAAAGCUCAAGCACAUCACCAAUGUCCUCCAUGCCUUCAACAGCCACAGUUUUACCAGGAAAAGCUUCCCAGGAAGAGUGGGAGAGAACUGCCCCAGCAUUAGACAGGAAAGGAAAGGAAUCCUGCUACAUCCUGACAAUAUGACCUGGGAAAAAAUUUCAGCAAUUGUUUGAAGCUGGAUGUUUUGAGCAGAAAACACUGAUACAGGACCUGAGACAUUCUUCAGACCACUGAGCACACUGGCAACAUCCCUACUGAUCCUGCAGCCAAGCCCUGGUGCUUCAAGGAAAGAAAAAUUCCAGAAGCUAAAUUAGGCAGCAAGGGGGGAAACCUACUUCUCCCCAUCACCGAGCCCUUAGGCCUUGGGAAAGUCUCUAUAAAUGAAGUGCAAACAAACUACAGCCAGGGCAGCAAUUGAGGUGCUCACACACAGGCUCUCCAUGUCACCUGGGAUGCCUGAAGGUACCUGGCUGUUGCAUCCUGGGAUUGGGUUUUAGGGGUUCUUAUUUGUGUUAGCUAGCUUCUGCCGAGGAGGCUGUGGGUCUCUGCAUGGCAGGUGUCACACCUGCUGAGCUUUAGAUGCCCAAAGGCACCUGGAAUGUCCCAAAACCCCCAGGUUUCAGAACCAGGAUUACUCCUCCAGGAGCAGUGACCAAAUGCAUAUGUACAAUGGUGCCUAUCUGCACCCCCUUACAGGUGAUGGAAAACAAUAAUAUCCAAGAAAUAUGGGAUAGGAUUCAUCUUCUAACAAACAUGCUCAGGUUUGGCCAAAUAUUCUCUUAGUUUUUCUCC